rnacentral:lncRNA from 1 species
GUCUAUUCUGGCUGCCCCAGGAACGCCCCCUCCUGCCCGGUGCGCCUUGUGACUACCUUGCUUGGUUGGUGGUACUUAUUCCUCUCUGAGCGAUCCUACCGCUCAGUGGCUUCGUAGUUCUCCACCCCACCAGCAGAACAGCCCCGGGAUCUAAGAAUAACCAGACUCAUUUAGCACUUACUGCGUGCCAAGCUCCGUGCUGAGUCCUUGGAGUGUUUCAGCUCACUCUGCACUGGAGCAAGCAGACAGCAAGGAGGAAGCAGCGACUCCAUUUUACACUGGAGGCGGAAGGGCUGAGUGCCAGGCCCAUGGCUGCAGAGGAUGCCUGACCCCUCGUGUAGACCACAGGGGGCAGAACUGAAGAUCCUCUGGACACAACACGGUCACUCCAAGUGCUGCCUGGCUUUGGGGUAAGGUCCCCGCUUUUCCCAUGAGCUCGUGGAGGCUGGAGGAGGGGAGCUGUG